CGCUUAUAGAGAAAGGUAGAGGGAGUAGACCCUGUGAAACCUUAGCAACCUGACGCGCGUCAAGGUGCUACAUUCUACUCACACUAAGGUGAGAAUGAUAAGUG
rnacentral:ncRNA from 2 species